rnacentral:rRNA from 1 species
GCAGUAGACGCUGAGAGAGGAGCUUGCUCUUCUUGGAUGAGUUGCGAACGGGUGAGUAACGCGUAGGUAACCUGCCUUGUAGCGGGGGAUAACUAUUGGAAACGAUAGCUAAUACCGCAUAACAAUGGAUGACACAUGUCAUUUAUUUGAAAGGGGCAAUUGCUCCACUACAAGAUGGACCUGCGUUGUAUUAGCUAGUAGGUGAGGUAACGGCUCACCUAGGCGACGAUACAUAGCCGACCUGAGAGGGUGAUCGGCCACACUGGGACUGAGACACGGCCCAGACUCCUACGGGAGGCAGCAGUAGGGAAUCUUCGGCAAUGGGGGCAACCCUGACCGAGCAACGCCGCGUGAGUGAAGAAGGUUUUCGGAUCGUAAAGCUCUGUUGUAAGUCAAGAACGAGUGUGAGAGUGGAAAGUUCACACUGUGACGGUAGCUUACCAGAAAGGGACGGCUAACUACGUGCCAGCAGCCGCGGUAAUACGUAGGUCCCGAGCGUUGUCCGGAUUUAUUGGGCGUAAAGCGAGCGCAGGCGGUUUGAUAAGUCUGAAGUUAAAGGCUGUGGCUCAACCAUAGUUCGCUUUGGAAACUGUCAAACUUGAGUGCAGAAGGGGAGAGUGGAAUUCCAUGUGUAGCGGUGAAAUGCGUAGAUAUAUGGAGGAACACCGGUGGCGAAAGCGGCUCUCUGGUCUGUAACUGACGCUGAGGCUCGAAAGCGUGGGGAGCGAACAGGAUUAGAUACCCUGGUAGUCCACGCCGUAAACGAUGAGUGCUAGGUGUUGGAUCCUUUCCGGGAUUCA